AUUGAACGCUGGCGGCAGGCCUAACACAUGCAAGUCGAACGCGUGGCGGACGGGUGAGUAAUGUCUGGGAAACUGCCCGAUGGAGGGGGAUCACUACUGGAAACGGUCGCUAAUACCGCAUACCAUCGGAUGUGCCCAGAUGGUAUGAGCUUGUAGGUGAGGUAACGGCUCACCUAGGCGACGAUCCCUCGCUGGUCUGAGAGGAUGACCAGCAACACUGUAAAGUAGACACGGUACAAACGCCUACGGGAGGCAGAAGUGGGGAAUAUUGCACAAUGGGCGAAAGCCUGAUACAGCCAUGCCGCGUGUGGGAAGAAGGCCUUCGGGUGGUAAAGUACUUUCAGCGGGGAGGCGUUACCCGCAGAGGAAGCACCGGCUAACUCCGUGCCAGCAGCCGCGGUAAUAC
rnacentral:rRNA from 1 species